ensembl:lncRNA
GUCAUCCCCCAGGAGGUUCUGCAGAGCCAGAUGGGUGGCCAAGGCGGCUAUGGAGGAGGCACUAUAGGUGCAGGGGACCAGCAGCAGCCGGUUCCGCAUCUAUAGCUUCAUGUCUACGCACCUGUCUACGCUCUUUGGCAAUAGAGGCGGGUGUUUCAGAACGUGCGGGUUAAAGAGUAGGAGGCGGCACCGAGGGACGAGGCAGCUUUGAUCUACCUGAUCAACGUGGAGAACCACCAGAACAGCGUGGCCUAUGGGAGGGCCAAGAUGGCCCAGAAAGGAGAACAGGCGGUUCACUAGCUCCUCUCCCUGAAGGCGGCGCCCGUUAGCCCCUCUGCCUUUACCUUCCAGGGGUCCUGGAGGGAGAUGCGACAUCCAAG